rnacentral:rRNA from 1 species
GAUGAACGCUGGCGGCGUGCCUAAUACAUGCAAGUCGAGCGAACGGACGAGAAGCUUGCUUCUCUGAUGUUAGCGGCGGACGGGCGAGUAACACGUGGAUAACCUACCUAUAAGACUGGGAUAACUUCGGGAAACCGGAGCUAAUACCGGAUAAUAUUUUGAACCGCAUGGUUCAAAAGUGAAAGACGGUCUUGCUGUCACUUAUAGAUGGAUCCGCGCUGCAUUAGCUAGUUGGUAAGGUAACGGCUUACCAAGGCAACGAUGCAUAGCCGACCUGAGAGGGUGAUCGGCCACACUGGAACUGAGACACGGUCCAGACUCCUACGGGAGGCAGCAGUAGGGAAUCUUCCGCAAUGGGCGAAAGCCUGACGGAGCAACGCCGCGUGAGUGAUGAAGGUCUUCGGAUCGUAAAACUCUGUUAUUAGGGAAGAACAUAUGUGUAAGUAACUGUGCACAUCUUGACGGUACCUAAUCAGAAAGCCACGGCUAACUACGUGCCAGCAGCCGCGGUAAUACGUAGGUGGCAAGCGUUAUCCGGAAUUAUUGGGCGUAAAGCGCGCGUAGGCGGUUUUUUAAGUCUGAUGUGAAAGCCCACGGCUCAACCGUGGAGGGGUCAUUGGAAACGUGGAAAACUUGAGUGCAGAAGAGGAAAGUGGAAUUCCAUGUGUAGCGGUGAAAUGCGCAGAGAUAUGGAGGAACACCAGUGGCGAAGGCGACUUUCUGGUCUGUAACUGACGCUGAUGUGCGAAAGCGUGGGGAUCAAACAGGAUUAGAUACCCUGGUAGUCCACGCCGUAAACGAUGAGUGCUAAGUGUUAGGGGGUUUCCUCCCCUUAGUGCUGCAGCUAACGCAUUAAGCACUCCGCCUGGGGAGUACGACCGCAAGGUUGAAACUCAAAGGAAUUGACGGGGACCCGCACAAGCGGUGGAGCAUGUGGUUUAAUUCGAAGCAACGCGAAGAACCUUACCAAAUCUUGACAUCCUUUGACAACUCUAGAGAUAGAGCCUUCCCCUUCGGGGGACAAAGUGACAGGUGGUGCAUGGUUGUCGUCAGCUCGUGUCGUGAGAUGUUGGGUUAAGUCCCGCAACGAGCGCAACCCUUAAGCUUAGUUGCCAUCAUUAAGUUGGGCACUCUAAGUUGACUGCCGGUGACAAACCGGAGGAAGGUGGGGAUGACGUCAAAUCAUCAUGCCCCUUAUGAUUUGGGCUACACACGUGCUACAAUGGACAAUACAAAGGGCAGCGAAACCGCGAGGUCAAGCAAAUCCCAUAAAGUUGUUCUCAGUUCGGAUUGUAGUCUGCAACUCGACUACAUGAAGCUGGAAUCGCUAGUAAUCGUAGAUCAGCAUGCUACGGUGAAUACGUUCCCGGGUCU